GAGAAUAUUUAACAGCUGCGGUAUUAUAACUGUACUAAGGUAGCAUAAUAAUUUGCUCUAUAAAUUANGGGCUAGAAUGAAUGGUUUGACGAGAAUUAGACUGUCUCUGCUUUAUUUAUUAGAAAUUAAUUUUUAUAGUGAAAAAGCUUGAAUAAUUUAAAGGGACGAAAAGACCCUAUUGAGCUUUAUUUUAAAAGAUAAAUAUAUAUAUAUAUAUAUAUAUAUAUAUAUAUAUAUAUAUAUAUAUAUAUAUUUAUUGUUGUUAAUUUUGAUUGGGGUGAUCAAGGAAUAAAAUUUUUUUGAGAUGUAACUUCCUUAAAUAUAAUAUUAAUGGAUUGAUAAACCAAGUUUUUUGCUUAUAAGAUAAGUUACCAUAGGGAUAACAGCGUAAUUUUUUUUGAGAGUUCAUAUUGAAAAAAAAGAUUGCGACCUCGAUGUUGGAUUAAAAUAAACC
rnacentral:rRNA from 1 species